CCCUUAGAUGUUCUGGGCUGCACACGUGCUACACUGGCAGGUUCAGCGAGCUUCAUGCCCUGAUCUGAAAGGAAUGGGAAAUCUUUUCAAAACCUGCCGUGCUUGGGAUAGAUGUUUGCAAUUAUUCAUCUUCAACGAGGAUUGCCUUGUAAGCGCACGUCAUCAGCGUGCAUUGAAUACGACCCUGUAUUCUGUACACACCGCCCGUCGCUCCUACCGAUUGAAGUUUUCGAUGAGUUGACAGGAGGAUUUUUUUGAAACUGGUUCGCCAGUGGAUUUUAGAUCCAAAUGCCAACGAAUCGAUGGCUUUAGAGGAAGGAGAAGUCGUAACA
rnacentral:rRNA from 1 species